rnacentral:sRNA from 1 species
AAAUCUAUGAAAGCCCUGUCCCUCCGGA